UACGUAGGGGGCUAGCGUUGUCCGGAAUCAUUGGGCGUAAAGCGCGCGUAGGCGGCCAGAUAAGUCCGGUGUGAAAGUCACAGGCUCAACCUGUGAAUGCCGCUGGAAACUGUCUGGCUCGAGUCCGGGAGGGGCGAGUGGAAUUCCUGGUGUAGCGGUGAAAUGCGCAGAUAUCAGGAAGAACACCCGUGGCGAAGGCGGUUCUCUGGGACGGUACUGACGCUGAGACGCGAAAGCCAGGGGAGCAAAC
rnacentral:rRNA from 1 species